rnacentral:lncRNA from 1 species
UUGGCAAAAAAACCGAACCUACAAACGGGGGGACCUCUGGGUGCGAUGGCUCCGCCAGUCCUCCUUCGCGGUUGAGCUUCUUUAUUCGGUUAACCUGCACCGAAAAAGAUGGUGAAUAUAAUGAUUGAAAAAUCACGUGAAAUGACAAUCGAAGAGGAGUUCAUCAUAGGGAUUUUAGAGUUUUUGCAUGCGGUUUCAAGCUCACCCAUCGUCCUUUUUGCUCUGAUUUAGCUACAAGGUGCUUAGAAUCGAAUUUCGAUUG